GUGAGGGAGGUGGUGACUAGUGACAGAGUGAGGGAGGUGGUGACUAGUGACAGAGGGAGGGAGGGAGGGAGUGGAUGACCAGUGACAGAAGGAGGGGGUGACACAGUGACAGAGUGAGGGAGGUGGUGACUGUCACUAGUCACCACCUCCCUCACUCUGUCCCUAGUCACCCCUCCCUCUGUCACUAGUCACCCCCUUCCUCACUCUGUCACUAGUCACCACCUCCCUCACUCUGUCACUAGUCACCACCUCCCUCAC